rnacentral:misc_RNA from 1 species
GAAAUGUGAUACUUAAUGUGAAUUGCAGAAUACCGUGAAUCAUCGAAACCUUGAACGCAUACUGCGCCUGAGAGUCAUCUCUCAGGCAUACCUGUUAGAGUGUCAGUUAUCAUAUCAAUCCAGCCUUUGGGCUGGGACUUUGGUGGUAUAUGGAGCAAUACGUCUUCCGCUUAAAAGAUAAUGUUUGUAGGACAAGCGACUCUAAACUACCUGCUUGCCGUGAACUGUUAAUAGUACCUUUACUGGUUUAUUGCAGCCUCAGACAGUAUGGCCGGUUUGGCUUCCGUUUCCCUACAGACACAUUUUUGAUACUGGUUUUAUAGGCCUGCGCGGCUUAUCUAAUCAACUUAACAUUUUGACCUCUAAUAGGUAAGACUACCCGCUGAAUUUAA